UUGAAAGGGAGUCUUACAGGGGAGCUGCAGCUCUGUGGUUUGGGGGGGCUGAUGAGCUAGAGGGUGGAGGGAAGGCUGUGCUGAGGCAGCCCGGCAUCUUCAGAAUCUAGAGAGCUUGCCAACGUUAACACAUCCGAGGAGGUAUUCAGUAUCAAAGUCUCCAAUAUUUGGCUCCAUAAACACGAUACCGGUUGCAAAAACAAAGCUAAGGAGCUCAUGCUGAUUACUUCAAUAAAAGCUGUUUAAUUAUGAACGUUUGGGAAAUGAAGUUACCAACAGGACCAGGAGAGCUUUGGCGUCCAGUGUCCCUGCUCCCAGCAUCCCACUGUUACACUAGAUUGUCCACUCAGCUGAAAAGUCUGACAUUGAGCAGGGUACACCCUCAGCCCUGCAGGGUACUGUUCACUUGCCAAUAACACUCCCUCUUGUUGCAGUGGCAAAUUUUGGGAACUGAGUACUGAUAGAAUUAUCUAAUGUUAUCAGUGCCAUUUUCAGACCAUCCAAGGGUUACUUGGUGCAGGUGGGGGGGGGUUGUCAGAGCUCUUGGAAGACCUGCAUUUAUUUCUAGGUUUUUCUUUUUUUCAGCUGACUUUUCUCCCCUCCCCUCCCCCUAGAAGUCAGGGUUCUCGGAUGAGGCAAAGUAGAUGUGAAUUCUGAGCAGGGAGCUCAUGGACCUGGUUGUGAUGACGUGUUUUGGAAUCCUCAGUGAACAGGAUAAAGAAUAAGUUGGGAGGAAAUUCCGAGUGUUUGGGACAAAUUCCUUGCUUUAAGCUCAUACCUGCCUAGAGAAGGUCUGGAACCUUCCAGGUGUCUGUUGCGGGGGGAGGCUCUGAAGAGCAAAGCUGGAACCGUUUCUGUUGAUGCCUCUUCCUUUCAUCCCAGAUUUGAUUCUCCAUGAUGGACUUGCGGGGUUGCCCUGUCCCAGCCCAAGAGUCCCAGAUUCAGGUAUCACCGGUUGCUGCCCCUUCAGAUCAGCCACUUACAACUCCAGAUAUCAAUGUUCAGCCUUUCAUGGGGUUGUCUUGCUGUGCGGUUCCUGUGAGGACUUCCUGGGCAGAGCUUUGCAUAUCAUGAUAUAUUCUGGUAACUUUCUACAGGGUCCAUAUGGAACCCAAGGGAAACCUGAAACCCAGGCAUUUCCCACACAGCCAUGUCUCCUGCUUCUACUCUCUGGGUCACUGGCCCUUCACUGCCUCUCUGGUGGCUUUCUCAAGGCUUGGAGCCAGUCCCAGUCUGGCCUUUAGACAGAAGAUUGAGCUCUCUAAGCUGUCAUUCUGAAGCUCCCCACAGGCAAAUCAUACCGGAGCCUGCCUUGUGUGCCUUGCAGGAUAGAGGUAGAUUUCAAAAGGGGUCUUGGAAGAAAAGAGGCUUCUCAAAC